AUCCAGCUGAAGAGUCCCAAAUAAGACGAAGAGCACGUCUCGGAU
rnacentral:hammerhead_ribozyme from 1 species